rnacentral:rRNA from 1 species
UACUAUCUAGUUUUGAAUGUAUAACUUACAUUCACAUACAUUGUCUGGUGACAAUGGCAAGGAGGUCACACCUGUUCCCAUGCCGAACACAGAAGUUAAGCUCCUUAGCGCCGAUGGUAGUUGGAU